CUUUUCUAGGGCUGCUCCUGCGUUAGCUUGAUGUGAUCAUUUCACAGUGUAUAUGUUUAUCAAAGCAUCAAAUUGUAUACCUUAAACAUAUAUAUAUAUACACACACAAUUUUAUAUCAAUAAAAAUUGGUACCAAUAAUUUAUAGCAUAAAUGUGUAAUAAUAUAUUUUAAAAUUAAAGAGUAAAGCCCACAAAAAAUAACAGAAAACUUCCUAACAGGGUUUAAAAAAGAAAUCACAUGAGGAUGUUAAGACACAUGUCAUAUCCUCCCAUUUUGCAGAGAAGGAAAAUCAAGAUCUGGAAAAGUAGGCACCUUAGCCAAAGUCCCAAGGCUAGCUGGCUACCUUCAGAGCUUCAGCUCCAACCCUAGUUCUCUGAGCAAGAGUGAUAAAUCACGAGGCUGCAGCAGAACAAAUUUAUACAAUUGAGUGUUUGUCAAGAUGAGAAAUGAAAAUUACUCAGCUGCUUUUAGCAGCCAGAGUCUAACUUGCAGAGAAAAAAUAAAAAAGCAUUUUCUCCCCUGGGAGGUUUAAGGGGUCCAAGCAUGGUAGAACCUCUUUCAUUCCUUAGAUCUACAGCCUCGGGAGCCCCCAGGGGGCAGCCCUGCUGGGGGAGGCACCCUGGCCCUGGGUCGCAUCAGUGGUCAGGGGUAUCUGGGGCUAGACCAGAGCAAGGUGUGGUGCCCAUUAGCCUUGCAUCUGCACAUGGAUCCAAGGAGAGGAAAGAGGGCUUUGUGUUCUGUAUUCAAGCUUCUGCAAGAGCAUGCGUAGGAGAAAUAAGGGGAUCUGGGGACUGGGGUUCAAGUUCCCCCAACUAGAUGGGUGACCUUAGGCAAGCGGCAACCUGUUCCACCCUCAAGCUCCUCAUCUACUGAAAAGGGAUGGUAACUGUAUAAUUGCUUCUACCCCAGGCUCGCCGUAUGGACCAAACAAGCAAAUGCAUGUGAAGUAUGUGUCCAAGAGUCUGGAGCAGAGUCAGUGGUCACACGUGAUAGUUAACACCAACGCCACUGCCACCGCCACCACUGUUCUAACACCGGAUCGCAGGACAGCAUACCCGAAGAGAAAGGCCACGUCUGACUCUCUUCACUAUUUGACCCGAGUUAAGCCACAUAAGCACUCUGAGCUUUAGUUUUUUCCCCCCAUCAAAUGGAAAUAAUAAGCCCCGCAAUAUCUGCCGCGUGGGGUCGUUAGGAGGAUCAAGGAAGGUAAUAGACGUGCAAGGGCUUGGUAAACAGUGAGGCGGUGUUCACAAAAGAAUCAAGGUCAUUCCCAUCACUCCCGUUAGUCCUGAAUGACGGAUGUGUUAUUGUAUUGGGUAAGGAGCUAAUCUGCAGAACCAUUCCUAUUCAUUUCUGUAUCUAAUAGAACAAUGCACUUCUUUCCCCCCUUUGGUCUUUUGUUUGAUCAUCUGGUACUUGCUGUCUCUGAAACCAUUUCCAUACAAUACGUUCAUAAUGGACAUUAUAACAUAAUAUCAUGAGAGCUACCUUUUUUUUUUUUUUUUUUUUUUUUGAUCCUACUACUGUAGCCCAGGAAGAGAGACUUAUGUGACAUCAGAAAGCUGCAAGGGGGCAGGCGUUAUCCUCGUUUCACAAACAAAGCUUCCGAGACAGGGAACUGCCUCCCUCCCCUGCACCCCUCAACAAGCCAGAAGACGGAGCAGAUGAGGAGCAGGUUCUACCUGGUGGGAGAAGAUUCAUCAAGAGACCAGGGACAGCCCUCUUUUAAAAGGUGCCACUAAACAAGACAGUAACUAACACAGGCCUUGGCCGAGGACUGUAGUCUCUUAUCUAGAACUUUCUAAACCAAUGCCAUGUUCUCAAAUGCUACAUCCUUUCUUAAGUGUUUGCAAAGAUGUACACGUUGCAGAUUUGGGCCAGGACAGUUCUCCUGCUGUUCUGAGGCCGAUCUCAGGCCAGCUCUGAUGUCAGCUCUGUUGAUAAAGAUGCAACCCCCAACCAGCCCCCAGAGCACAGCCUGAGGCUAUCCUGAAUAGCACCCAGAGAUGUCCUCCACCCCGCCUGGUAUCCUGGCUCAAGCCAAUGAUGAGGACCGGGUUUCGCAGAUGCAGUUUCUCAGGAGCUGACUCAAUCAUGCUUGCUCUUAACCACGCUGACCGUACUCCACUGUCUCGGCAGUUCCUCUGGCCUGUUUAAAGGGGGGACAUUUUAAACAACCAAGUGACUGUUGCUACAGCAUAAUCACCGAGGGCUAUCCACGGUCGGGCAGGUACUAUGUCAUUCUAGAAAGAAUCACUUGACCCCAAGUUCUCCCAUCCUUUGAAAAGAAAAAAAAAGGGGGGGGGAAAUGAGUGUAACUGAUAACAUCUUGGGGGUUAAAUGUGUGCCUGGGUUGAUAACCCCUAAAUUAUCCUGCCUGCUGCUACCAGCAAUUAC
ensembl:lncRNA